UCAGCUCUCUUUGACGUUUGGCUCUGAUCAAGUGAAGUACUGUUCUUCGCAAUUUAAUCUCUUGCGAGGACUCUACGGGGUUCCUGAGGUUAAAUCAGUUUUUGGAUCCGGCUCCUAGUCCCUGAGCGCCGCUUAUACUCUUGGAGCACAGUGUCGCCUCUACUGCACUGUCGGGGGCUGACGCGAAGGGCA
rnacentral:snRNA from 1 species